rnacentral:rRNA from 1 species
AUUGAACGCUGGCGGCAGGCUUAACACAUGCAAGUCGAGCGGUAACAGGAGAAGCUUGCUUCUCGCUGACGAGCGGCGGACGGGUGAGUAAUACUUAGGAAUCUACCUAGUAGUGGGGGAUAGCUCGGGGAAACUCGAAUUAAUACCGCAUACGACCUACGGGAGAAAGGGGGCAACUUGUUGCUCCCGCUAUUAGAUGAGCCUAAGUCGGAUUAGUUAGAUGGUGGGGUAAAGGCCUACCAUGGCGACGAUCUGUAGCUGGUCUGAGAGGAUGAUCAGCCACACCGGGACUGAGACACGGCCCGGACUCCUACGGGAGGCAGCAGUGGGGAAUAUUGGACAAUGAGGGCAACCCUGAUCCAGCCAUGCCGCGUGUGUGAAGAAGGCCUUUUGGUUGUAAAGCACUUUAAGCAGUGAAGAAGACUCUAGGGUUAAUACCCUUAGACGAUGACAUUAGCUGCAGAAUAAGCACCGGCUAACUCUGUGCCAGCCGCCGCAGUAA